rnacentral:rRNA from 1 species
AACGCUAGCUACAGGCUUAACACAUGCAAGUCGAGGGGAAACGAUAGAGAAAGCUUGCUUUUUCUAGGCGUCGACCGGCGCACGGGUGAGUAACGCGUAUCCAACCUGCCCACCACUUGGGGAUAACCUUGCGAAAGUAAGACUAAUACCCAAUGAUAUCUCUAGAAGACAUCUGAAAGGGAUUAAAGAUUUAUCGGUGAUGGAUGGGGAUGCGUCUGAUUAGUUUGUUGGCGGGGUAACGGCCCACCAAGGCGACGAUCAGUAGGGGUUCUGAGAGGAAGGUCCCCCACAUUGGAACUGAGACACGGUCCAAACUCCUACGGGAGGCAGCAGUGAGGAAUAUUGGUCAAUGGGCGAGAGCCUGAACCAGCCAAGUAGCGUGCAGGAUGACGGCCCUAUGGGUUGUAAACUGCUUUUAUAAGGGAAUAAAGUGAGUCUCGUGAGGCUUUUUGCAUGUACCUUAUGAAUAAGGACCGGCUAAUUCCGUGCCAGCAGCCGCGGUAAUACGGAAGGUCCGGGCGUUAUCCGGAUUUAUUGGGUUUAAAGGGAGCGUAGGCCGGAGAUUAAGCGUGUUGUGAAAUGUAGACGCUCAACGUCUGCACUGCAGCGCGAACUGGUUUCCUUGAGUACGCACAAAGUGGGCGGAAUUCGUGGUGUAGCGGUGAAAUGCUUAGAUAUCACGAAGAACUCCGAUUGCGAAGGCAGCUCACUGGAGCGCAACUGACGCUGAAGCUCGAAAGUGCGGGUAUCGAACAGGAUUAGAUACCCUGGUAGUCCGCACGGUAAACGAUGGAUGCCCGCUGUUGGUCUGAAUAGGUCAGCGGCCAAGCGAAAGCAUUAAGCAUCCCACCUGGGGAGUACGCCGGCAACGGU